GAUAGCUCAGUUGGCAGAGCGGAGGACUGUAGAUGUUACAACGGUGAUCCUUAGGUCGCUGGUUCAAAUCCGGCUGCCG
rnacentral:tRNA from 1 species